rnacentral:lncRNA from 1 species
AUGCAAAAAAGCAAAAUGGCUGUCUGGGGAGGCCUACAAAUAGCUGUGAAAAAAAGAGAAGGGAAAAGCAAAGGAGAAAAGGAAAGAUACAAGCAUCUGAAUGCAGAGUUCCAAAGAAUGGCAAGAAGAGAUAAGAAAGCCUUCUUCAGCAAUCAAUGCAAAGAAAUAGAGGAAAAGAACAGAAUGGGAAAGACUAGAGGUCUCUUCAAGAAAAUUAGAGAUACCAAGGGAACAUUUCAUGCAAAGAUGGGCUCGAUAAAGGACAGAAAUGGUAUGGACCUAACAGAAGCAGAAGAUAUUAAGAGGAGGUGGCAAGAAUACACAGAAGAACUGUAUAAAAAAUAUCUUCACGGCCCGGAUAAUCACGAUGGUGUGAUCACUCAUCUAGAGCCAGACAUCCUGGAGUGUGAAGUCAAGUGGGCCUUAGAAAGCAUCACUACAAACAAAGCUAGCGGAGGUGAUGGAAUUCCAGUGGAGCUGUUUAAAAUCCUGAAAGAUGAUGCUGUGAAAGUGCUGCACUCCAUAUGCCAGCAAGUUUGGAAAACUCAGCAGUGGCCACAGGACUGGAAAAGGUCAGUUUUCAUUCCAAUCCCAAAGAAAGGCAAUGCCAAAGAAUGCUCAAACUACUGCACAAUUGCACUCAUCUCACACGCUAGUAAAGUAAUGCUCAAAAUUCUCCAAGCCAGGCUUCAGCAAUACGUGAACCAUGAACUUCCAGAUGUUCAAGCUGGUUUUAGAAAAGGCAGAAGAACCAGAGAUCAAAUUGCCAACAUGCGCUGGAUCAUGGAAAAAGCAAGAGAGUUCCAGAAAAACAUCUAUUUCUGCUUUAUUGACUAUGCCAAAGCCUUUGACUGUGUGGAUGACAAUAAACUGUGGAAAAAUCUGAAAGAGAUGGGAAUACCAGAGCACCUGACCUGCCUAUUGAGAAACCUAUAUGCAGGUCAGGAAGCAACAGUUAGAACUGGACAUGGAACAACAGACUGGUUCCAAACAGGAAAAGGGGUACGUCAAGGCUGUAUAUUGUCACCCUGCUUAUUUAACUUAUAUGCAGAGUACAUCAUGAGAAAUGCUGGUCUGGAAGAAGCACAAGCUGGAAUCAAGAUUGCUGGGAGAAAUAUCAAUAACCUCAGACAUGCAGAUGACACUACCCUUAUGGCAGAAAGUGAAGAGGAACUAAAAAGCCUCUUGAUGAAAGUGAAAGAGGAGAGUGAAAAAGUCGGCUUAAAGCUCAACAUUCAGAAAACGAAGACCAUGGCAUCCGGUCCCAUCAGUUCAUGGGAAAUAGAUGGGGAAACAGUGGAAACAGUGUCAGACUUUAUUUUUGGGGGCUCCAAAAUCACUGCAGAUGGUGACUGCAGCCACGAAAUUAAAAGACGCUUACUCCUUGGAAGAAAAGUUAUGACCAACCUAGAUAGUAUAUUCAAAAGCAGAGACAUUACUUUGGUAAAAAAGGUCUGUCUAGUCAAGGCUAUGGUUUUUCCAGUAAUCAUGUAUGGAUGUGAGAGUUGGACUGUGAAGAAAGUUGAGCGCCGAAGAAUUGAUGCUUUUGAACUGUGGUGUUGGAGAGGACUCUUGAGCAUCCCUUGGACUGCAAGGAGAUCCAACUAG